GCCUGGAUGGCUCAGUGGUUGAGCAUCUGCCUUUGGCUCAGAGCGUGAUCCUGGGGUCCUGGGAUCAAGUCCCACAUCAGGCU
rnacentral:tRNA from 1 species